GGCUGAGAAAAGUAAAUACCAGAAUGUGUACGAUGUCAGAUGGGCAGAGGCCCAGCAGAGAAUGGAGCAAAGGAAACUAUAAGGGCAGCAACCUCAAGGCUGGGGAGUUCAGCAUGCAAAGAAGAUCGACCUGGCAUUGGUGCUUAAGCACCAGAGAACCAGCACCUGAGAAAGGCAGAGAAUAGAACUCAGCAUUACCGACCUGGAGUCGGGAGCUCCAGAUCUGCAACUCAUUUCACCUCCUUGGGCCUCAACUCCCACUUUCUACAGGGGGAAGUUUGGGCUUGUGAAGAUCUUAGAUACCUUCCAGCUCUACGUGCUCUAUGGAAGAAAGCCAGUAUUUAUUGAAUGCCUACUAUGCGCUCAAACCCGGGCAAUGCUAUGGGGCAUUUGGCGACAAUUCAGUGGACACGAAGCCUCUCGCCCAUCCCUGAUUCAGGAUUCCCCACAUUUGCAACAAGCCCUGCAAACUAGGUAGUCAUUGGGCCUGCCGAAGACUGCAUAACAUGAAUCCAAUCAUGAGAAAAGAUCAGACAAACCCAGCUGAAGGACCUUCAAUCAAAUCUCUCUCCUGCGAACUUCCAAGUCUCAAAGUGUGGGAGGUGAAGGAACGACUUCAGAACUGUUCCCAGUUGAAGAAGACAGAGCUAGACACAACAGGAGGAGUUUUCACCCUAAAAGACAUGUCAAUUACCCUGGUCAAGAAAUGAGACUGGCCUUAGGAUCAAAAGAUGGAAGAACUUCCUCAUUCACUGCCAAGACAAAAAGAUGUUGGGAAAGGGCUCUGUGCAAAAGGGCUGGAAGCCCUCCUGACUCAGCCACACUUGCACUGUGUGUGGCCACCAGUGCCAUGUGAUCAUUUGUGAGCAUGUAAACCGGAAGAGCUGUGGAGCUAUAGAGGUGAGAUGGAGAUGUCAGAUGGGAGCAACCAUUACUAAAGCAAGUUCCCGGGACGCAGAGAUACUGUCUUCUCCCCCUGCACCUUCUGCUAAACCAUUGAGGGUGGCAGUUGCCCCUGCCAUUGAAACACUCAGUAUUUGGGCCACCAGAUUUGUGUGGAGGUGUGUCCAGGCAAUCAAAGAUAACAGACAAGGCAGGCACUGGCUUCAGAGAAGCAACAACAGUUAAAGAGAAUGGGCUUCUUCGAGGACCUUUUCCCGAUAUUCUCUCUCGUCACUCAGCCAGCCAAGACUAAUUCCCUGAAUGGAGUAAGAAUGUCUGGGGUGCAUGAAAUGGAACUGUCCAAAGAGAGUUAGAUCGGGGUACUCUGGGACAAGAGAA
rnacentral:lncRNA from 1 species